GACGAACGCUGGCGGCGUGCCUAACACAUGCAAGUCGAGCGGAGUUAGUAGCAAUACUAACUUAGCGGCGGACGGGUGAGUAACGCGCGGGCAACCUGCCUUACAGAGGGGGAUAACAGUGCGAAAGUACUGCUAAUACCGCAUGACAUUGUUGGAUCGCAUGAUUUGACAAUCAAAGGAGAAAUCCGCUGUAAGAUGGGCCCGCGUCUGAUUAGCUAGUUGGUGAGGUAAAAGCUCACCAAGGCGACGAUCAGUAGCCGAUCUGAGAGGAUGACCGGCCACACUGGAACUGAGACACGGUCCAGACUCCUACGGGAGGCAGCAGUGGGGAAUAUUGCACAAUGGGGGAAACCCUGAUGCAGCAACGCCGCGUGAAGGAUGAAGGUCUUCGGAUUGUAAACUUCUUUGAUGAGGGACGAAUAAUGACGGUACCUCAAAGACAAGCCACGGCUAACUACGUGCCAGCCGCCGCGGUAAGAC
rnacentral:rRNA from 1 species